UUUGACGUCUGCAAAAGUUUUCUUCUCUCAUGAAAGAUACAGCUGACCUCGAAACAUAAUAUGAUUUGGAAAUUAGGUUGAACCAGGGGUGUUUUAAUGCGCUUCUAACUCAGUAAGUCCACAUGACACAAACUCAAAACUUCCAUACAAAACCCCAGACAUUUGAAGGAUUUUAUAAACUCCCUCGGACAAGACCAGACAGGCCCCAAAAAGAGGACAUGUCCGGGUAAAAGAGGACAUAUGGUCAUCCUAAAGUUGAGUUUGGAGUUACAGAAAGCCGACAAGCUAGUAAUUCAGAAAGCACAGGAGCCGAUGAUUGUGGUUCCCCAAAGAAAAAUCUCAGCUUUUCAAAUCAAUCAAUCAAUCAAAUUUUAUUUAUAUAGCGCCAAUUCACAACAGUCGUCAUCCCAAGACGCUUUCCAAAGAAAAAGAGUAGGUCUAGACCACGCUCGUUGUUUGAUGAAUUAGAGACCCAACCUAAGAUGGGAUUUGGCCCAUCUCAUCUAACAUGAGUGACAGUGGCAAGGAAAAAAAACGUCCUUUUAACAGGCGGAAACCUUUGGUAGAACCAGACACAUGCUAGACAGCCACCGGGCCGCUGCUGGGUUUGGGAGGAAUACAGAGAGAUAGGGGAGAGAGAGAGACAGGGCUUUUCAUUACUUCAGCCUAACCAGGAUGCCUCGCUGGUAAGGUAUUGAAGGCCCAUCCCACCGGGGACCCAGGACAUGCUGGAGAGUCUCUCAACUGGCCUGGGGGAACGCCUCAGGGUGCUCUGGGAAGAGCUGGACAAAGUGGCGAAAAGAGAGAGAGAGGGAAGUGUGGGCUUCCCUACUUAGGCUGCUGCCCUAUUAGAGCCCAACAUGUAACAACGACCAGAAAUGUGAUUAAAAAUAAUGUAAUAAAACCCCAAAUGAAAUAACUGGUCGAUAAUGUAACAAGAUGCAGAGCCCAAAACGUAAUAAGAUGUAUCAACUUGUCACAUUUUGGGUCAGUUACAGUUAAAUACUUUUUAACAUUAUUGACGAAUUAUUACAUUUCGGGCUUUUUUUAAUCUAUUUCUAUAACAUUUUGGGUCAGUUACAAAUUAGGUUCUAACAUUCUCUCACAAAAGUAUAUAUAAGUAUAACAUACUAUGUUUAUUAGCCUUGUUGAACUGAUGUCAUUAGUUUUCUUUGAGCCAAUUCUUCUUGUAUAUCUUAGAAAACGGAUGUAAAGUUCAUAUACGAGCUAUACUAAUACACUGAAAUGUAAAAUUAGAUACAUGGCAUUAAAGCAAGGCCAAUUAAAACAGUUCCAUCAGACAUAAAAGUGAAUACUAAUGCAGCUCUGAGAUAUUGUUUACUCCUGCAGAGAGACAGUGAGGCUCUGUCAUUUUAGAUUAAUGAAACGAUUCAUUAUGCCAAUAUCUAUAUGUGAAACGCACAUUAACAUUAAGCUGAUAUACAUUCAAAGUCAGUGUAGUUUACACAAAUGAUUGAAUACAUCAUUUUUUAUUGUGAGUAAAUGAUGAACCCUCUGAUCAGCUUCCAGAUUAAAAGCUGAAGCACAUUGGUUAUGUGCGUGGUGGUGUUUCUCUCUAUGUGUGGGAGAUAUAUGUGUUGUAUCACACUUAGUACACCAGAUUCAGGGGAAGGGAGGAAGUGAUGGUAUAGAAAAGGAGUGGUGUUCAGAUACCACUGAAGGAUGCAGAAAUACAGCUAAUAUUAAUGAAAACUAACGAAUUUAUAUUGAAAUGCAAUUAGAAUAGAUUUUCAAUAGAUCCUUUUGAACAAUUUCACUUGAAGCUCCGGUAAGUAAAUAUGGGAUGGACUUCUUUAAUUGUGUUUAUGCUGGUGUAUUUAUUCUAAAUUCACGUCCUUGUAUUUUUUCAUCCAUGCUGUUCUCAGUUUGUAUUCAAUGCUAUGAAUUGUGUUAUCUGACACCUGCCCUCUCACAGUGUUUACAAGCACUAAAAACCAGCAAAUGGAAACACUCGGUCCUGCGGCUGAUGGUCUGAUGAUUGGUUUCGACUAUAAAGUAAUUUACAGUAUCUCAUCAUCAUCUCAAAACUACGCACAGCGACUUUUUGUAAUAUCUGAGUGACGUGCACCACCAAAUUUAAGGAUAAAGGAUACUAUAAAAGAUAACUUAAGGAUAAAUGAAGUUCAUCUUAUCUUAUCACCUCUUGAACAUCUGCUCUGGAGUAAAUUUCAUCGAGUUAGAUACACUGUAUGCCAAAAAAAAAGGCAUAAUUGAAUUGAGUUAUGUUAGGUUGAGUUAAACUGAGUUGGGCUAAAUUUAGUUUGAGUGACUUAAGUUCAAUUGAGUGAAGUCGACACAAGUCAAGUUAACUUAGGUUCAUUUAAGAGUUUUAUUUGACUAAGUUGAGUUUAGUCGAGUUGAGUUGGGUUGAGUUGAAUGUGGUUGAGGAGUUAGAUUGAGUUUAAUUAGACUGAGUUCAGUUAAGUUGGGUUAAGUUAAUUUGAGCUGAAUUAAGUUAAAUUGAGUUGAGUUAAACUCAAAUGGAUUGAGUUUAAUUUGAUUGAGUUGAGCAGUUAAAUUAAGUUGAGUUAAGUUGCAUUAAGUUGAAUAUGGUUGAGAAGUUAGAUUGAGUAGAGUUUACUUGAGUUGGUUUGGACUGAGUUUAAUUUGAUUGAGUUAAGCUAAAUUAAUUCUAGUUAAAUUAAGUUGAAUUGAAUUGAGUUGAGUUAAGCUAAAUUGGAUUGAGUUUAAUUUGAUUAAAUUAAGUUGAGUUAAGUUGCAUUAAGUUAAAUAUGGUUGAGAAGUUAGACUGAGUUUAGUUGGAUAGAGUUAAGUAGAGUUAAACUAAGCUUAAUUGACUUGAGUUGGAUUGAGCUCAACUUGAUUGAGUUUGAUUGAGUUUAAUUUAAGUUAAGUUGAGUUGUAUUGGGUUAAAUUAAAUGAGUUGAGUAAAUUUAAGUUAAGUUGAGUUGUAUUGGGUUUGAUUUGAUUAAGUUGAGUUGAGCUUGAUGAGCUUUCAGUUUAUCUAGAUGAACACUUUUGUAUGGUUUUAAAACAACUAAAAGUGCUACGAUAUAAAACAAUAUGUGUAGUGUUUUAUUAAUUCUUAUUAUAGGACUGGAGGGUAUAUCUUGUAGGAUCAGCUAUAACAAUUCAUAUGAUUCUUUUCAUGAUUAAAAUCUUUAUUUCUGGUUUGUACUUGAAAAGAAAUGAACCUGUUGUCCAUUAUUAUCUCCUUUCUCUCUUCUGACUAUUAUUGACGUGUGCAGUUGUUCCUUUACUCCAGCUCAGACACACACUGGACAGUUCUGUGGCAUUAAAGCAGCUUCCUCUCCUGUGAAGACCGCCGUUUGUCCAAGAACUCCUCGCCUUUUUUUGACUUUCGCUGAGAGACUGCACCACGCUCAGCCGCCACCUGAUGUGAGCCUUUGUGUCUGAAGCAACCUGAUGAACAAAAGAGUAACAUAAUACACCGGGAUCAGCAGUGCGUCGAAUAACCUGCCACAGACAUGAGUCAGUUUCACAUUCGGUGCUUCUUGAGAAAACUGUCAGAGCAUUUUCUCUGUUGUAGACAUUUUCCCUACAGGGAUGAUUAUGAUACAAUUUUCUCACAUUCUAGUAUAGUUGUCUCUAAACAGCUGUUUCACUGCAGGUAUCACUCACUGUCAUUACCAGCACUUUCAAAGCACUUUCUACCUUACAAAGCAUCUAAGGAGCUCUCAUUAUGUAUUCAAGGAACCCUUCAGGGCUUAAAAGAAGUCUCUAUAAAAAAAGAAGCUGUUUAGCAGAAGCUUUACGAACAAGGUAAUAAGCUGAUUUUGUUGACCAAAGAGAUUUUUCCACAUCUACAAUAAUCAAACCAAUCCUUAUCAGUCAUAAAUGGACCAUUUUAUGUUUUAUUUCUUUUAUACAGAUGCUCCAAGAGCUUCAUUCAAACUCCUCCUGUGUCUGCUGUGUCACCUAGCAUAACCCCUCUCAAUUCAUGUCACCCCACACUCCAGUGGCACGCUGCCCAGGCUGAGUCACCCCUACCAGUCAUAACGAAUUGGCCGGGACACAAGUCACCGCAGAGCAGAGGGGGGAAAGGGGCACAGCACACCGUCUGUGGCACGUUAAUACCAGGCGUUUGAUGAGAAGGCCAGAGAGCGGGUGAGCAAUUGAAUAUUCAUGAGGGGGUGAUGACAAGAUGGACAGCAGAGAGGACGAUGUGUAAUAGUAUCUGCUGUCUGCUGCACGCUUCUCAGAGAAAGAGGUGUGUCAUGUCACCCCUCUGUGAAAGCUAGAGCGUACUACUCUGUGCCGGAUACUGUGAAAGAUGAGGUCGCUGUGUUUCCAUUAAUGCAAUCAGAGAGCUCCGGAGUGCACAGAAGGCAUUAAAAGUCAAACCAUUCAUACACACAGUGACUCAGAGUAUAAAUAUUACAGUCUUCUUACAGCUUAGUCAUACCGUCUUUAUAGGGGACUCUUCAAAAUCACUCUAUGACAAUCAUAUUUACACAAGUUCGCUUGACAUAGCGAAACAGAUUUGUGACAUGCAAAGAAUUGAACUUGGAUGCGCGUUGAUGGGCAAAUUUACUGUUGAUCAAUAAGUCUGUUAAGGUCUCUGCAAAAUUGAAGUUAUACAUCAUAUCAGAUACUGCAAAUCCAAUUAAAUACAGCCUCUCUUUUCCAAAGAAGUGAAUUAGUGACUUAGGUCCAAUCCUAAUUGCGUGCCCCUUAGCCCUUGUCUUAGCCUUUAGCCCUCGGUUUUGCGCUUUCAAGUCAAGCGAUGGGAUGUCCCAAUUCUCCGUAAGGUUAAGGGGAAGGGCUAAGGUCAAGGGGUACACAGCCCCUGAAACGAAGACAAAACCAGGGCCUCACUUGAAAGCAAGGGGUAAGAUUUUGGUAUAAUUUUCAUAGUAAUGACACUUAGGUUUUUUAUUAUAGAUAUUCAAUCCUUUGCUACUCCACGUAAAUAUUCGCGAUGUUUUGAAUUGUUUGCGUUUUAAAAUCAUGCGUCUUGAGCUAGCUAACAAAGAUGAAUGUUUCUUAGUGACGGAUUAUUAGUGUAAUUAGACAUUGAGUGAGGGGCAGAGAUUGAGAUUUGCCAUGAUAUUCUCAAAUUGUGAAAUUGCCUUGGUUGGAAUAACUUAAAAGAAAGAAAAGAAGAAAGCUAUAGCUAUUGAUAGCUACACUGAUGUCAGACUUGGGUGACAAAUUCACUGCAAACUGCAAGGCAUGAUGAAGUAGUGGGAAUCGAGUGGCGUCUCGUUUCUUAGGAGCAUAUUUAUGCUCGCCAUAUGUAUGAAAAUGUACGCGUCAGUUUCUAAUGAUGGUUCUGAAACCACCCACAUACUUCCAUGCGUUCUUUACGUUCGCAUGGAUGUUAACCAUUACAUCCACCAGGGGGCAGGCCUGAGUCAAAAGUUUCUGACAACAACAAAUGAAAGGAGGAGACAGAAACGGAGGCAGCGUUGGAGGAUGCAGUAGUCGGUCAGGCCACUAAAUGCCUCGCGGUUGGAGGACGGAGAAUACUUUUCUCUAGUGGUACCAAUGAGCAAAAUUGACAACGACGAUCGCCAUUUUCAGCCCCGCCAUUGUCUUCUUCGUUUCUCUUUAGAGAUAUGUAUCGGAUAGUGACAGCAGCAACACUGCCCCCACGGUUUUUGGUGGUACUGCCCCGUCUUGCCCAUAUCCAGAAACUUCAAGGAUACGUGCAGAAAUAUGGAUGAAAAAACCACGAAGCACAGAUGGAGAGCUCCGUCCUUAUAUGUAUGUAACGUUCAGCAUAAACGAACCUUAAGACGAAGGG